rnacentral:rRNA from 1 species
CCAUAUGCUUCCGAGUGAAAUGGAUUUAUAUUUAUCCGCCUAAAGAGAAGCUCGCGGCUGAUUAGCUUGUUGGUAAGGUAAGAGCUUACCAAGGCGACGAUCAGUAUCUGGUUUGAGAGGACGAUCAGACACACUGGAACUGAGACACGGUCCAGACUCCUACGGGAGGCAGCAGUGGGGAAUUUUCCGCAAUGGGCGAAAGCCUGACGGAGCAAUACCGCGUGAGGGAAGACUGCCUAUGGGUUGUAAACCUCUUUUUUCAGGGAGGAAUCAAUGACGUGUACCUGAAGAAUAAGCAUCGGCUAACUCCGUGCCAGCAGCCGCGGUAAGACGGAGGAUGCAAGUGUUAUCCGGAAUCACUGGGCGUAAAGCGUCUGUAGGUGGUUUAAUAAGUCAACUGUUAAAUCUUGAGGCUCAACUUC